GCCCGCACAAGCGGUGGAGCAUGUGGUUUAAUUCGAUGCAACGCGAAGAACCUUACCAGGGCUUGACAUCCCCUGCUACCUAUCGAAAGAUGGGGUUCUCUUCGGAGACAGGGAGACAGGUGGUGCAUGGUUGUCGUCAGCUCGUGUCGUGAGAUGUUAGGUUAAGUCCUGCAACGAGCGCAACCCCUAUCUUUAGUUGCUAACACUUCGGGUGAGCACUCUAAAGAGACUGCCGGUGAUAAACCGGAGGAAGGUGGGGACGACGUCAAAUCAUCAUGCCCUUUAUGUCCUGGGCUACACACGUGCUACAAUGGCUCAUACAGAGGGAAGCGACCUGGCGACAGGAAGCGGAUCCCUUAAAGUGGGUCACAGUUCGGAUUGCAGGCUGCAACUCGCCUGCAUGAAGUCGGAAUCGCUAGUAAUCGCAGGUCAGCAUACUGCGGUGAAUACGUUCCCGGGCCUUGUACACACCGCCCGUCACACCACGAAAGUCUGUCAUGCCCGAAGCCGGUGGCCUAACCGUAAGGAGGGAGCCGUCUAAGGCGGGACAGGUGAUUGGGGUGAAGUCGUAACAAGGUAGCCGUAUCGGAAGGUGCGGCUGGAUCACCUCCUU
rnacentral:rRNA from 1 species